CCUUUUCCCCUUCAUCUCUUUGCCCAUGUAAAAGCAGCGACAAUACAACAAAACGACAAAGCCAUUAAUGCUUGACCGCGGAGAACUACUCCAACGUCUCUUCCCCCAACCUAGCACUAUUUGUGUGCAGCAAAUUCAGCGAUGGCAGGCUCUCAUCUCGUCCUUGCUCGCGCGGAUGCGCGACACGUCAUGUGACAAGGACCCCAAAUCGAUCCAAGACGUUGAUUCUUCUUUCCUCUUUCGGAAUGGAGUUGAAUUCUCAGAAAAAGUUGUCUAUCCUAAAUUGGCAAAAGUUUUGGAAUUCAAAACUGAAAAAUCGUCCUCUUCUCAUUCGGUUUCACCCCAUUUUUAUCCCAACCCUAAUUUCCCCAUAUAUAUAUAGUCCUCAUAGAAGGAGAGGGAGAUUUUCUUUUAUUAAAAAAAUAUCACAGAGAGAGAGAUAGAGAAUUGGGGAAGAAAUCUUUUUUACGAGAAGAGAGGCGAGAAAAAUCGAAGAUUGAGCAUCUUCCAACUAAUACUAAGAGAAAAGCUUAAAAUAGAUAUAAGCCACAUUUAAAAUAAGUAUAACAGGGAAUCAGUCCUAGUCUAGUUCGAUUCCUUUGUUUUCUUUCAGCAUAAGCUCGCUGGAGAUCAUGGCUUCAUCCAUCGUUCUAUGUGUUAGCCGUGUUCGGGUUCGUGUCUGUAUUUGUGUGGUGGAGGAGCUCGUUGGCUGUCUCAGUUGCUCUGCCUCGAAAAAGUUCUUAGAUACAGGAAAUUGCAUGAAGCAGAUUUAUAUUCUGCUUUUUAUAGCCUGAAGAAUUUCAAAGAUGCAUAUGUCAUCCCUGUUGAACCUAUCUCCUGCGAGAGUACAUGGGAUAUACCAAGUUAUAUUUCAGAGCCUAAAUUAAUGUCAUAGGUCCAAAGAGAUCAGUGGGAAGACCGCAACUUGAAGAAUUUAGUUGAUGUGAAAUUCAAAAGGUCAAAGAUUACUUGCAUUAGAUGUCGUCAAGUUGGACAUAACAGGAAGACAUGUUCAAAUUAUCCUGAGCAAAAAAAUGAUUUCUUGUUUUUUACUUUUUGUUACACAAUUUUUAUGUUGUUUUGUCUAUUAGACACAUGUUUUGUUUUAUGGAGUGCAUUUGGUAUCAUUAAUAUUUGAGUAAUUGUGAUUUUUGAA